rnacentral:rRNA from 1 species
AAUGAACGUUGGCGGCGUGGAUUAGGCAUGCAAGUCGAGCGAGAAACCAAUUAGCUUGCUAAGAGGUGGACAGCGGCGAAAGGGAGAGUAACGCGUGGUUACGUGCCCUCGGGACCGGGAUAGUGUCGGGAAACUGGCAGUAAUACCGGAUAACAUCUUUGGAUCAAAUGGUGUGAUUCCGCCCGAGGAUCGGACCGCGUACUAUUAGCUUGUUGGCGGGUAACGGCCCACAAGGCUGCGAUGGUUACCGGGUGUGAGAGCAUGGCCCGGCUCACUGGGACUGAGACACUGCCCAGACAUCUACGGAUGGCUGCAGUCGAGAAUCUUCGGCAAUGGACGAAAGUCUGACCGAGCGACGCCGCGUGCGGGAUGAAGGCCCUCGGGUUGUAAACCGCUGUCAGUUGGAGGAAAUCCAUGGGGGGUUUAUCCCCCUGUGGUUGACCGAGCUUCAGAGGAAGGACGGGCUAAGUUCGUGCCAGCCGCCGCGGUAAU